rnacentral:rRNA from 1 species
AACGAACGCUGGCGGCAUGCCUAACACAUGCAAGUCGAACGAGACCUUCGGGUCUAGUGGCGCACGGGUGCGUAACGCGUGGGAACCUGCCCUUAGGUUCGGAAUAACUCCCCGAAAGGGGUGCUAAUACCGGAUAAUGUCUUCGAACCAAAGAUUUAUCGCCUUUGGAUGGGCCCGCGUUGGAUUAGCUAGUUGGUAGGGUAAAAGCCUACCAAGGCGACGAUCCAUAGCUGGUCUGAGAGGAUGAUCAGCCACACUGGGACUGAGACACGGCCCAGACUCCUACGGGAGGCAGCAGUGGGGAAUAUUGGACAAUGGGCGAAAGCAUGAUCCAGCAAUGCCGCGUGAGUGAUGAAGGCCUUAGGGUUGUAAAGCUCUUUUACCCGGGAUGAUAAUGACAGUACCGGGAGAAUAAGCUCCGGCUAACUCCGUG